GAACGCUAGCUACAGGCUUAACACAUGCAAGUCGAGGGGCAGCAUGGCCUUAGCUUGCUAAGACUGAUGGCGACCGGCGCACGGGUGAGUAACACGUAUCCAACCUGCCGUCUACUCUUGGACAGCCUUCUGAAAGGAAGAUUAAUACAAGAUGGCAUCAUGAGUCCGCAUGUUCACAUGAUUAAAGGUAUUCCGGUAGACGAUGGGGAUGCGUUCCAUUAGAUAGUAGGCGGGGUAACGGCCCACCUAGUCUUCGAUGGAUAGGGGUUCUGAGAGGAAGGUCCCCCACAUUGGAACUGAGACACGGUCCAAACUCCUACGGGAGGCAGCAGUGAGGAAUAUUGGUCAAUGGGCGAGAGCCUGAACCAGCCAAGUAGCGUGAAGGAUGACUGCCCUAUGGGUUGUAAACUUCUUUUAUAAAGGAAUAAAGUCGGGUAUGGAUACCCGUUUGCAUGUACUUUAUGAAUAAGGAUCGGCUAACUCCGUGCCAGCAGCCGCGGUAAUACGGAGGAUCCGAGCGUUAUCCGGAUUUAUUGGGUUUAAAGGGAGCGUAGAUGGAUGUUUAAGUCAGUUGUGAAAGUUUGCGGCUCAACCGUAAAAUUGCAGUUGAUACUGGAUAUCUUGAGUGCAGUUGAGGCAGGCGGAAUUCGUGGUGUAGCGGUGAAAUGCUUAGAUAUCACGAAGAACUCCGAUUGCGAAGGCAGCCUGCUAAGCUGCAACUGACAUUGAGGCUCGAAAGUGUGGGUAUCAAACAGGAUUAGAUACCCUGGUAGUCCACACGGUAAACGAUGAAUACUCGCUGUUUGCGAUAUACUGCAAGCGGCCAAGCGAAAGCGUUAAGUAUUCCACCUGGGGAGUACGCCGGCAACGGUGAAACUCAAAGGAAUUGACGGGGGCCCGCACAAGCGGAGGAACAUGUGGUUUAAUUCGAUGAUACGCGAGGAACCUUACCCGGGCUUAAAUUGCAGAUGAAUUACGGUGAAAGCCGUAAGCCGCAAGGCAUCUGUGAAGGUGCUGCAUGGUUGUCGUCAGCUCGUGCCGUGAGGUGUCGGCUUAAGUGCCAUAACGAGCGCAACCCUUGUUGUCAGUUACUAACAGGUUCCGCUGAGGACUCUGACAAGACUGCCAUCGUAAGAUGUGAGGAAGGUGGGGAUGACGUCAAAUCAGCACGGCCCUUACGUCCGGGGCUACACACGUGUUACAAUGGGGGGUACAGAGGGCCGCUACCACGCGAGUGGAUGCCAAUCCCAAAAACCUCUCUCAGUUCGGACUGGAGUCUGCAACCCGACUCCACGAAGCUGGAUUCGCUAGUAAUCGCGCAUCAGCCACGGCGCGGUGAAUACAUUCCCGGGCCUUGUACACACCGCCCGUCAAGCCAUGGGAGCCGGGGGUACCUGAAGUGCGUAACCGCGAGGAGCGCCCUAGGGUAAAACUGGUGACUGGGGCUAA
rnacentral:rRNA from 1 species